GGGCCGGUCAAUUUCCAUGACGGAAAGAACCGUGGUGAUUUGGCCGGUCGCCGUGGCGUUCGAUGCCGAAUUUAUCGAAUCGUUACGUAGUGAUGAAGUCUGACGAAGAGAAAAAAAUUGAGUGCAUCGCCGCCCCGAUGCAAGUUCCGAGCAAUUCGAUGGCUUGCACUGCUACUGCAGAGCCGGCGGUGGUCGAGAUCGAAACGCGAUCUGUGUUAAGUAAACGACAGAUUUUCGAUGAACAAAACCCCGGGCAGAUCAAUUACAAUGAAGGGAAGAACCGUGAUUAUUUGGCCGAUCGGCCGUGGCGUUCGAUGCCGAAUUUGUCGAAUUAUUGCGUAUCCAUGAAAGUAGACGAUGUGCCGAAAAUAGAGUGCAUCGCCACUUCGACGGAAGUUCCGUGCGACUCGUCGAAGGUAGUGCCGGCUAAACGUCGGUCAUUAUGGAAACGGACGAAGAGAUUCGUCCGUCGCAUGUUUUGUUGCGGUUUGUAAUACAUGAUCAGAUUCUGUUUUUCAGAGAUAAUAUUAUACUAUUAUAGUAACUUACGAUUUUCGUGACUGCUUGUAAAGAUUUUCGGCGUAUGUCUAAUUAAUAAUAUAAGAGCAUACUCUUGGCAGUUACGUAAUGUGGAUAAACAAGAGAUCUCGUGGUGAAUGCUACAGCAAUCAAUAGUGGCGAUGGCGGACAUAGCAGCAUGAUCGAUUAUCGUCAUUACACAGGACACUAAUGAAUACACUAUAUAGAAAUAAUAUGCCCACAUCAAAGGCCAUUAGUCAUUGCCAGGUUUUAAUGAGCAUCCCAAGUUUUCGAAGAACGAACUUGGACUGAGUUGGACUGUUUCUAAUCAUUAGGUGUAUAGACCAGACGUCAUUCCUGACUCAAGUUUAACGGUCUCUAUAGAAAAUAAAUGCUCUUAAACUUGUCGCCAGUGAUAAAUUAUUAUCAUCUACCGAUAUCCAUUAACAGUAUUAAAAAGCUCUGCUGCAGUAUUCAUUCGAGUGUUUACGUCGCCAUUAAAAAUUUUUUACAAGAAAUAUCAUAUAUUCAUAUUAUCAUAACUAAAUGACAGAAUCACAAAUAGUACCGCGGAUCCAAAUUCCAAAGCAUGAAUGUCACGGACCACCUGCAGAUGGUUGCGGGCAAUAGCUUAAAAACCACUAUAGUUUAAUACAACCAAGUGAAGAAUAUAUUUAUAAAUGUCGUCUCGAAAAUACCCAUUAUAAAGUUUCCCUCAAAAAGGUUUUGUAAAAGAAAACUUUUAUACCUAUUAAAAUAUUCAA